rnacentral:ncRNA from 2 species
GUAUAAUGGCGGGGUUUUGGUGCCCGCGCGCAUGCCCAUGCGCGCAGUUAAACGGGAAACACGAAGCCGCGCCCCUACCAGGAAAACGGCCAACGUGUGCUGCCCCCGCAACGGUAAACAAGUGUCGCCCACGGCGACAAGCUGCCUCCGACAAACCACUGUGCACUGCAUGGGAAGGUAAGGCAGUUCAACUUGCGAGCCCGGAUACCGGCCAAAGCAGGUGGAUGCGC